rnacentral:rRNA from 1 species
CCUACGGGUGGCAGCAGUGGGGAAUAUUGGGCAAUGGGCGCAAGCCUGACCCAGCAAUGCCGCGUGAAGGAAGAAGGCUUUCGGGUUGUAAACUUCUUUGACAGGGGAAGAGCAGAAGACGGUACCCUGAAAACAAGCCACGGCUAACUACGUGCCAGCAGCCGCGGUAAUACGUAGGUGGCGAGCGUUGUCCGGAAUAACUGGGCGUAAAGGGAGCGUAGGUGGUUGAUUAAGUUAGAUGUGAAAGCCCAGGGCUCAACUCUGGAACUGCAUUUAAUACUGGUCGGCUAGAGUACAGGAGGGGUAAACGGAAUUUCUAGUGUAGCGGUGAAAUGCGUAGAUAUUAGGAAGAACACCGGAGGCGAAGGCGGUUUACUGGACUGCAACUGACACUGAGGCUCGAAAGCGUGGGGAGCAAACAGGAUUAGAUACCCGGGUAGUC